AUACCCUGACUUGUGGUAAGAUAAGCAAAGGCUAGAGGUGACGACCUCAAAGUCUGCGGAUCGAACCCAGUCAGGGUGA
rfam:Tetranychus urticae London genomic scaffold, scaffold_6